rnacentral:rRNA from 1 species
UACGAAGGGGGCUAGCGUUGCUCGGAAUCACUGGGCGUAAAGCGCACGUAGGCGGAUCGUUAAGUCGGAGGUGAAAUCCUGGAGCUCAACUCCAGAACUGCCUUCGAUACUGGCGAUCUUGGAGUCCGGGAGAGGUGAGUGGAACUCCGAGUGUAGAGGUGAAAUUCGUAGAUAUUCGGAAGAACACCAGUGGCGAAGGCGGCUCACUGGCCCGGUACUGACGCUGAGGUGCGAAAGCGUGGGGA